rnacentral:tRNA from 1 species
ACUCCGGUAGCUCGAGUGGUAGAGCGGCGGUCUCCAAAACCGCAUGUUGCAGGUUCGAGUCCUGCCGGGAGCG